CAGCAGCCGCGGUAAUACAGAGGGUGCAAGCGUUAAUCGGAAUUACUGGGCGUAAAGCGCGCGUAUGUGGUUCGUCAAGUUGGAUGUGAAAUCCCCGGGCUCAACCUGGGAACUGCAUUCAAAACUGACGAGCUAGAGUAUGGUAGAGGGUGGUGGAACUUCCUGUGUAGCGGUGAAAUGCGUAGAUAUAGGAAGGAACACCAGUGGCGAAGGCGACCACCUGGACUGAUACUGACACUGAGGUGCGAAAGCGUGGGGAGGAAACAGGAUUAGAUACCCUGGUAGUCAAGGGCG
rnacentral:rRNA from 1 species